GCUCAGAUUGAACGCGGGCGGCAUGCCUUACACAUGCAAGUCGAACGGUAACAGGUCUUCGGAUGCUGACGAGUGGCGAACGGGUGAGUAAUACAUCGGAACGUGCCCGAGAGUGGGGGAUAACGAAGCGAAAGCUUUGCUAAUACCGCAUACGAUCUCAGGAUGAAAGCAGGGGACCGCAAGGCCUUGCGCUCACGGAGCGGCCGAUGGCAGAUUAGGUAGUUGGUGGGAUAAAAGCUUACCAAGCCGACGAUCUGUAGCUGGUCUGAGAGGACGACCAGCCACACUGGGACUGAGACACGGCCCAGACUCCUACGGGAGGCAGCAGUGGGGAAUUUUGGACAAUGGGCGCAAGCCUGAUCCAGCCAUGCCGCGUGCAGGAUGAAGGCCUUCGGGUUGUAAACUGCUUUUGUACGGAACGAAAAGACUCUGGUUAAUACCUGGGGUCCAUGACGGUACCGUAAGAUAG
rnacentral:rRNA from 1 species